AUUGAACGCUGGCGGCAGGCCUAACACAUGCAAGUCGAGCGGAUGAGAGGAGCUUGCUCUUUGAUUUAGCGGCGGACGGGUGAGUAAUGCCUAGGAAUCUGCCUGGUAGUGGGGGACAACGUUUCGAAAGGAACGCUAAUACCGCAUACGUCCUACGGGAGAAAGUGGGGGAUCUUCGGACCUCACGCUAUCAGAUGAGCCUAGGUCGGAUUAGCUAGUUGGUGAGGUAAUGGCUCACCAAGGCGACGAUCCGUAACUGGUCUGAGAGGAUGUUCAGUCACACUGGAACUGAGAAACGGUCCAGACUCCUACGGGAGGCAGAAGUGGGGAAUAUUGGACAAUGGCCGCAAGCCUGAUCCAGCCAUGCCGCGUGUGUGAAGAAGGUCUUCGGAUUGUAAAGCACUUUAAGUUGGGAGGAAGGUCAGUAGCUUAAUACGUUGCUGAUUUGACGUUACCGACAGAAUAAGCACCGGCUAACUCUGUGCCAGCCGCCGCAGUAAGAC
rnacentral:rRNA from 1 species